AAGACUAUACUUUUAGGGACCAUUCCUAUAGGAAGUUACUAGAGAAGUUUCUCUGAUCAUGUAGAAUACCCGAAACCAUGAGGAGGAGCCAGAGCAUCCUCUCCUGAGCAUGAAGCCGCUUCUAGGUGUUGCUUCUGCAACUGCCUUUUGCCACUGAUAAUUGUUCUUCCCUUCUUUUAGAAGGGUUAGAGAGGGAUAAGGAUACAGUCUGAAUGGU